GGCGGUAUUUGGCCGUGGUCGUCUCGAUUGUUUGUUUGUCUGUUUCUGUGUCCGUUGUGUCCGGGGCAGUGGUGGAUUUUGUCCGGCGCAGGAAGUUGGUGCGGCGGUCUUUCAGUCCCUGGGGAUGAAUGGUUGUGAUGGCGUUUGCAGGCGCGCAACUUGAAAAAAGAAGACCAGAUUUAAGACUGAUGAAUUGUAUAAUAAACUCAAAUUAUUUCUGUGUUUAAUUUAUAGAAAUCCCUCGAAAUAUUAAUUUGAAUACAUAUUAUUGCUGAG